rnacentral:lncRNA from 1 species
UCAGACUGAAGAUCUGAAGGUCGCGUGUUCGAUCCACGCUCACCGCACAUUUGUUUUCUAAUUUUGCUUUUUCACACUAUCAUGGCUCCAUUCCAACUUUGGCAAAGCAAAAAAGACCAAAAAUUUUGCUGUAAUUAUUUUGUCACUGCGAGAAUCACUAUCAAUAGCUUCAAAUUCAAAACAAUAAUACAGAGAGAAACACUUUGAUCGUUUUUCACAGAUUCACAUACUUAAAAAGGUCUAGACAAGCCUUUUGACCCAGAGAAGAAAAGCUAAUCAUCAAAUUCCCAGCAGGAUCCUACUUAAUUUCAAACACCUGAAAUAAAUUGACGAACCAAAUAUAAAGCAACACAAAAGAAAAGGUAACCAUGUCUACCCAAAUAUAAUAAUAAGUUCCAAAGCAAGAAAAACUUUUGAUUUUCUUUUUGUUUUUCUCUUUGAUAUCCCAUUAAUCGUGCACUCUUUUCUGAGUGCUUAGCAGCAUCUUUUAUUUUUGCCAGUGGGAAAGAAUUUGAGUACCCAUUGAAGAGAAAAUUGACUAGGGUACGGUUAAAAUUUUAUAUCCUUGUUUGUCUUAUUCAAAAAGGUAAUAAGAAAAAUGAAAAUUCUAUAAGUUUGUUAGCUUUCAUUCUAAUUUUGAGGUAAGAAAAUCGAAUAUUCAAUAUAUUUUAUACAAACAGAGAAUAUUUCACAAAAUUGCGGAAUAGGAAAGAAAGCUAAAUAUGCAAUAUAUUUUAUCAUUAUACAGAACUAGAAUUUUUACGAAAUUAUGAAAGAACAGUAGAUUUUACUUCGAUGCAUGAAUAAAAAAUAAGGAAAAAAAAAUAUAAACAAGAGAGAAGAAAUUGAUCGAUGGAAUGGGCUACGAUAUUCUUAACUCAAAAUCGUAAAAGCAUAAUCCAUUUAAGACUUAACAUAAUGGUAAAAAAAAAAAAAAAAAUUCAAAAAAUGGGUUGGAAACAUAUAGGCAACUUUAUAUAUAUAUAUAUAUAUGAUAGCUCAAUUAUGUGCACUAUGUAGCUGUCUCACAUAGAAAGGCAUAUGCUAUAUGGAAUAGGACAAGUGUAGAGAAUGAAAGGAAAUUGCAAAGAUCUGUGCUAAAAACGAGAUUGAUAGACAAAGUGAGUUGGUGGAAAAAGCUUUACUUACUUGGGAUUUUAAUUAAAAGUGAUAAAGAAAAGGUCUUUUGUCCAUGUUUUAACUAAGAUGGAAGUGUAUCUUCUUGGACCUGCAACAACACAGUGAGAGAGAUACGAUACUCUUCACUUUGGAAUCUAAAUAUUAUACCCAUCAUGUGAAGAAGUUUGGAUUUUGAAAUGUGAAAUGGAAAUGAUGAAGAAGAAGAAAGGUCAUGGUAGUCUUGUUAUAGUCUUAUGGGUGUAAGUGGCGGUCCCAAAUUUUU